GAGCGGCGAACGGGUGAGUAACGCGUGGGUGAUCUACCUUCGAGUGGGGAAUAACAUCGGGAAACUGGUGCUAAUACCGCAUGACAUCCCGGGAUCAAAUCUGGGAUCAAAGCCGGGGACCGCAAGGCCUGGCGCUUGAAGAGGAGCCCGCGUCCGAUUAGCUAGUUGGCGGGGUAACGGCCCACCAAGGCUACGAUCGGUAGCCGGCCUGAGAGGGCGGACGGCCACACUGGGACUGAGACACGGCCCAGACUCCUACGGGAGGCAGCAGUGGGGAAUUUUUCGCAAUGGGGGAAACCCUGACGAAGCAACGCCGCGUGGAGGAUGAAGGCCUUCGGGUCGUAAACUCCUGUCGACCGGGACGAAAGUGGUCCGACCCAAUACGUCGGGCUAUCGACUGUACCGGUGGAGGAAGCCACGGCUAACUCUGUGCCAGCAGCCGCGGUAAUACAGAGGUGGCAAGCGUUGUUCGGAAUUACUGGGCGUAAAGGGCGCGUAGGCGGUCUUGUAAGUCCCGCGUGAAAUCCCCCGGCUCAACUGGGGAACUGCGCGGGAGACUGCUUGGCUUGAGUUCGGGAGAGGGAAGCGGAAUUCCGGGUGUAGCGGUGAAAUGCGUAGAUAUCCGGAGGAACACCGGUGGCGAAGGCGGCUUCCUGGACCGACAC
rnacentral:rRNA from 1 species